AUGGUGCUGGAUGGUAAUGCUUGGAAUGAAACCCUCAUCAGGCAAAUCUUUCAUACUUUUGACAUAGAUGAGAUAUGCAAACUAAGUAUUCCAGCAGCGCGGGUGGAGGAUUGUAUCGCAUGGCACUAUGAAAAGAGUGGUGUCUUCUCUGUUAGGAGCGCGUACAGGCUCGCGGCUGCCACCCAGGACCUGGCAGCACAAUCCCCCUCGAGCUCUACGAGCGACCCAAAUGACAGGAGCAUUUGGGAUCUUAUUUGGAAGGCAAAAGUCCCUGGCAAGGUACGGAUAUUUGCUUGGAGAGUGGCCACCAGUACCCUAGCUACCAAGAAGAACAAAUGGAGGAGAACCUUGGAAACAAAUGCUACAUGCAGCAUAUGUGGCAAUGGCGAGGAGGACGAACACCAUGCAGUAAUUACCUGCACUAAGAGUCGGGCACUACAAGCAGAAAUGAGAAAAUUAUGGGCUUUAUCGGCUGAGAACAAGCUUAGAUAUACGGGGGAUGAUUGGCUACAAGUUGUUCUCGACAUAGAAAACGAGGAGGUUUGAGCUAAUCUCCUCCUGCUAUUAUGGCACUGCUGGCAUCUCAGGGAGGAUUGUGUGCGCAAUCAUGGCAAGGAAUCCAUCUAG
rnacentral:rRNA from 1 species